rnacentral:lncRNA from 1 species
CUCCGACCAAGCCUGGCCCACUCUGUCUAUUUCUUCCUGACCUCUCCAGCCCCGAGAGCACAUAGAAGCUGCCAGAUGAGGGCAGUGAGGCCGAGGGCCGGCAGUAGGGCUGCAGAUGCCCUGAGCCCUAAGGUCAAGGUGGAUGGAACUGCUGUGUAAGUCUGAUGCCGAGGAGACCAGGUCGUUGGGCUUUCAGUAAGGUUCUCACCUCUGUGACCAAUUACCUUGAGACUGAUGUCCUGCACCAUCCUGGAGUGUUGGGAUCUGCAGGUCGUGAAAAGGGAAACCAAGCAAUCACUUUGGAAUGACUUCCUGGAACUUCCCUGGCCCCUCCUUCGUGUUCUCUGAUGACAGCCAGGAGCUGACUCAGAAACCUCAUAAGAAGCUGAAGGCAUGACGACUUCCCUGUUA